CACUUUCUUCUCAUGUGCAGCAGCGCUUUCAUUGAGGAGGUAUCCAGAUGUCAGAGUACCUGCUCCAAUGCUGGCCAAAAUCACUGCCGUGUUACGGCCAGACAUCAUACGAGUGAAAGAAUUUGCCGCCAUGGUAAGGUGUAAGGACACUGAUCUGAUCCAAGCAACCCUGAACCUUACAGCCGUAUCCUGUCUGAUUGUUGGAGACAGCAUUCAGAUUAUUGGAGAUCAGAUUAUUAAACCAGACUGCCUACUGGCACAGAGGAAAGCUGAAGGAAAUCUUUAACCUGUGUCAUCUUUGUACUGUGGGUCACUGUCAAUAGACUGAAGGUAGAAACUCUCUCCAAGAAGGCACACGAGGAGCCAUACCGUAAGGAUAAGGAGUGAAUUUAGUCUUGGAACAUAGUGCCUCAAG